rfam:Gossypium hirsutum cultivar TM-1 chromosome 9, whole genome shotgun sequence
UAUUAAAAAUUGUAUCUUUUGUAUUAUUAAAAACUAACGUGGUUGAUAGAAUAACUAAACAGUUCACAUGACAUGCCAUAUGUAUCUCAUGCCGACGUUCAAGUAUUGGUUUUUAACAAUAAAAAAUGGAUGAAAUUUUCAACG